GUCAAAUCAUCAUGCCCCUUAUGUCCUGGGCUACACACGUACUACAAUGGCGGACACACAACGGGUAGCAACUCAGCGAUGGGAAGCCAAUCCUGAAAAGCCGCCUCAGUUCGGAUUGCAGGCUGAAACCCGCCUGCAUGAAGUCGGAAUUGCUAGUAAUCGCGGAUCAGCAUGCCGCGGUGAAUACGUUCCCGGGCCUU
rnacentral:rRNA from 1 species